CGGACGGGUGAGUAAUGUCUGGGAAACUGCCUGAUGGAGGGGGAUAACUACUGGAAACGGUAGCUAAUACCGCAUAAUGUCGCAAGACCAAAGAGGGGGACCUUCGGGCCUCUUGCCAUCGGAUGUGCCCAGAUGGGAUUAGCUUGUUGGUGGGGUAACGGCUCACCAAGGCGACGAUCCCUAGCUGGUCUGAGAGGAUGACCAGCCACACUGGAACUGAGACACGGUCCAG
rnacentral:rRNA from 2 species